UCCGUGGCUCGAGGAUAGAACGCUAGCGGGAGGCCUAAUACAUGCAAGUCGAACGGUAACAGGGUAGCAAUACCGCUGACGAGUGGCGCGACGGGUGCGUAACACGUACACAAUCUACCUUAUACUGGAGCAUAACCUACGGGAACUGAGGCUAAUUCUCAUAACAUAUUAAAAAGGCAUCUUUUUGAUAUUAAAACUCCGGUGGUAUAAGAUGAGUGUGCGUCUGAUUAGCUAGUUGGUGGAGUAACGGCUCACCAGGGCAACGAUCAGUAGCUGGUCUGAGAGGAUGAUCAGCCACACGGGCACUGAGACACGGGCCCGACUCCUACGGGAGGCAGCAGUAGGGAAUAUUGGACAAUGGGCGCAAGCCUGAUCCAGCCAUCCCGCGUGAAGGAUUAAGGCCCUCUGGGUUGUAAACUUCUUUUCUUUGGGAAUAAAAACUCCGUUUCUACGGAGCUUGAAGGUACCAGAGGAAUAAGCACCGGCUAACUCCGUG
rnacentral:rRNA from 1 species